rnacentral:lncRNA from 1 species
AAAUGGAGAACAGCUGCUCACGCUCGUCGUCUGACAUCAGCUAUUUCUCAGGAUGACCCUGCGAGACAGGCCAGGGUCAUUAGACCCAAUUUGGUUCUCAGCAAAUAUGUGUUUAUUCCUGCAUGCGUGGGCCACAGGCUGGUUUCUUGGGUGCAAUGAAUAGCUGCAGGUUUAUUAGGGUGUCUUUUUAGAUGGAUGUAUGUUUCCCGAUGUCUAUAGAACACUCCGGACCCCGGAGAGUGAAGACUCUGCCUGUCGGACUUGCUUUGAGAAGAUCCUUCUCCACCUCCCCAUGGCAGAAGUUGCUUCACAGAGGGGAACAGUUUUAUGGAUGUGGCUGAGACCUUAAACUUGAGGCAACCCAUCUGAGGUGGCAUCCAGAGGAGACUGGCUGGCCCCUCCUUCACCUUGGAUGUAGUGCUGUUUCUAGGAUCUCUUUUCAAUCAGCAAAACAGGGGAUGUUCCAAGAGGGUGUGGAUUCCCUGCCAUCCCACAUGGUCAAGUGGAGGGGACGGGAAAAAGCUAUGAAGGGUUUGUGACCACACAGACUCUCCUGGCCCCCUGUCCUUUUGGAAAGAAGACAGGGAUGAAAUAUAAUCAAGCAAUUAACCACCCCCAUCAUCACCAAGAACAACAGUAUCAACAAGAAGAACAGGGACAACAAAACCCACGGAUGAAACAUUCCUUUCUCAGCUCAGAUCUUAUCUGGUGCGUUCUCUCUCUGCUCUGUCUUGGUGUGUGGUUUAGAGAAACAUGGACAACGCUGUUUGGAAGAACAGGGUCGAGCUGUUCCUGAUGUUUAUCGGAGACUGGGAUCAAAGCUAUCCAGGUCAUAAAUCUCUCUCUGUGGCUGUUGGGCCCCAGGGCAGCUGAAGAGGGUUGACAGCCCUUUGGACCUCAAAGGAAAAAAUGUGCUCUACUCCACCCACUCCCAGCUCUGCCAAGAAGCUGUCCUCUGAGAAGCCAUGGCUGGGCCGUUCCAUUCUGGGGAGCUGCUGAAAAGAGCUGGGAGGCCGAGAAGAACUUGCGUGUGCUGGGGGAGAGGAAGCCUGGCCUUGAGGGAGGGGUGCAGGUGUGGCUCCUCUGUGUGUGGGGGCUGGGGGACCUUGUGUGCCUUUUCCUUGUGGCUGUGAAAUGCUUUAUGAGUACUUCCAUAGGAGGAUGGACAGGGAGUCGGGGAGAUAAACUCAGCCACAAGGCCCCAGGGCCUCAGGAAACUUGCACCCAACCCUCUCAUUUUACAGAAGAAAACUGUGCCUGGAAGGUUGAAGGGUUUGUUCCCAGUCACACAACCAGGGAUCCUUAGGACAGCCAGACCAGGAAACCAUUUCCAAACUGCCAAGCCAUGGCAGAGUAUCAAGACCUCAGGAACCAUCGAGACACCAUGGAAGCAUUGGGAAAAGCCUCCUUAGCUUUUGAAGCUCCUCAUUGUUCUUGAGUGUGCAUGGAGCCCAUGACUGCGGGGUUUUGUAGACACCUCAGGGAUUACAUGACUGGUACCCCUGACAAAGUCAAGGCUGCUGGACAAAAUGAGUCCGAGGAUUUCAGGGGCAGCUGGGCGCAGGAGCUGGUGGGCUGUUGGGAGUGCCCCUUUACUGGGCAGGCUUCCUUCCUCCUGGUGAUGGGGGGUUCCUCAGCACAAAAGUGAAGGGGUGGAGGGGCUGGAGGAGCAGGAAUCUCUCUUGUUGAUAGGUAUGAGGCCUUGAAGUCCUUUUCUUUGUCCCAGGAUUCAUGGACGCUUCGGGGCUGAUCUUUGAGUUUUCAAGCAUGGGGUGCAGAGACGUUUAGGUAAACUCUUACCGUCCUCUCUCUUCGUCAGGGCUUCCCAGGAAUCAACAAUGCCCAAGAAGGAAGGGAUUGUAGAAAUAGCUUAACCCUUUCAUUUACCAACGUGGAAAUUGAAGCCCAGGGAAGGGAAGGGACCGGUCGUGGAAGGGAGAGCCAUCAGCAGAAAGAGACCCUGAGAUCUUCGCCUGGGAUUCCCAGGAAGUCCAGCCCGAGCUGAUUCACAGAACAAAUGCAUGCAAACCUUGCUAUCAAUAAAUUACACAUGCACUUACGUAAAACACAUAAAAAUAUAUGGCCUUGGUUUUGGAACAAUACCCCACAGAUAAAAGUAGCUUUAAAUCCUCCAUAAAAUGAUAAAGUCUAGUCCUAAACUCCUAGCAGUUCUGCGGGUGAUCACAGGCGGCAGGAGCCGCUCAAACUUUAAUGGCUUGGUAUCUCCACAUGUAGACAGGAGGCAGAAAACCAUCGGGGAUGAAGUCGUGGGCUCUAGAAUUGCAAAGACGUGGGUUCCAGGCCAGGCUUGGCCCUUGCUAACUGUUGACCUUGAGCAAAUUACCCAACCUGUUCCUUAUUUGUUUCUGCCUCAUAGGUAGUUGUGCAGAUGAAAUGAUAUCAGUUCUCAGAACAGUGCUGGGGACAGAGUACACUCUAUGCUCAAUACAUAUUCACUUUUAGAGAUAUCUUGGGAUUCUCAGUCUAAGUGACAUUCAAAAGUACCUCACUGGGAGGCAAGACCAAGGUGGAGCCUCCUCUUGGAUGGGAUGUGGGCCUAUUUUAUUUUACUUCUUUAUUUUUGUAGGUGCAUGCCACCACACUUGCUAAUUAAUUUUUUUUUUUUUUUUUUGUAGAGAUGGGGUCUCACUAUGUUGCUCAGGCUGGUCUUAAACUCCUGGCCUCAAGCAAUCCUCCUGCCUCAGCCUCCCACAGUGCUGGGAUUACAGGCAUGAACCACUGAGCCCGGCACCUCUAUUUUAAAUCUAUUUUAUCUUUUGAGAUAUAGUCUUGCUCUGUCACCCAGGCUGGAGUGCAGUGGCGCGAUCUCAGCUCCCUGUAACCUCUGCCUCUCGGGUUCAAGCAAUUCUUCUGCCUCAACCUCCCAAGUAGCUGGGACUACAGGCGCCCGCCACCACGCCUGUCUAAUUUUUUGUAUUUUUAGUAGAGACAGGGUUUCACCAUGUUAGCCAGGAUGGUCUUGAACUCCUGACCUCGUGAUCUGCCUGCCUCGGCCUCCCAAAGUGCUGGGAUUACAGGCGUAAGCCACUGCACCCGGCUAUUUUAAAUCUACAGACAAAUCACCCAUGAAGUGCAGUGGGGGAAUAGAGGGCUGGGCUCAGUUAAUUCAGAAGAAGAUUUAUCCCAGGAUCAGGAAAUGAGAGUUUCAGAUGUUGCCAGUAGCUUAAGUGGCUUUUAGGGCCUUUUUUCUGUCUGGCCAGGGCUCAUCCUGGGCUGAGCUUUAAGGCCUGUUAGGGGCUGAAUUCUGUCCCCCUCAAAGUUUAUAUGUUGAACUCAUAACCCCAGUACCUUAGACUGUGACUGUAUUUGGAGAUAGGGUCUCUAAAGAGGUAAUUAGGUUAAAAUGAGGUCACUAGGGUGGGCCCUAGUCCAAUAGAAAUGUGUCCUUGUUGGAUAAGGGGCAACGUGGACACAGACACGUGCAGAGGGGAGCCCCUGUGAAGAAGCGGGGAGAAGACAGUCACCUGCAAGCCACAGACGGGGCCUGUGAAGGAACCAAUCCUGUCAAUACCUUGGUCUUGGUCUUGGCCUUCCAGCCUCCAAAACCCAGAGGCCAUCAAUUUCUGGGUUUUGAUGACCUUGGUUUCUAAAUCUGCCUGGGAGGCAUUGUUUGACUCUGGUCUGAACAACAGGAGUUUUCGGCACAGGUGUGAUCAUGUUACCUGCACAGUGCGAGGUUAAGAAGACAAAUGGGGGUAGGCUAGAGGCAACAGCCAAAUCACAAUUUGCCAGAUCUGAAAAGACCUUAGAGAUUACCUAGCUGAAUUGUCCCCUGCUGUAGAUUUGUAAAUCGAGGCUCGAAGAGGUAGAAUAACUUUCCUAAAAAUCAUCAGAUAAAUGACAGGCAGAGUGGAGACUAGAUCUCCCAUCGCCAGACUUGGCCCAGUGCUCUGUCCACCAAAGCAUGUUGACUGCAUCAACUCUGGGUGCACCUUCUCCUCCUUUAUCAUCAGUCAGCGUUCAGGAAAGCACUGCUAGCAGUCAUUUACACCUUAGCAUGAAUUUAAGCCAACAUUUAGUUCUCCCAGGUGCAUUUGCUUUUUUUUUUUUUGAGAUGGAGUUUUGCUCUUGUCGCCCAGGCUAGAGUAUAAUGGUGUGAUCUCAGCUCAUUGCAACCUCCACCUCCCGGGUUCAAGCGAUUCUCCUGCCUCAGCCUCCUGAGUAGCUGGGAUUACAGGCACCUGCCACCACGCCUGGCUAAUUUUUGUAUUUUUAGUAGAGACGGGGUUUUGCCAUGUUGGUCAGGCUGGUGUCAAACUCCUGACCUUAGGUGAUCUGCCCACCUCGGCCUCCCAAAGUGCUGGGAUUACAGGCGUGAGCCACUGUGCCCAGCCGCAUUUGCUUUUGAGGUCUCAUCCCAUUGUAUAGAUUGUUCCCUGUCAAUGGCAUUUCCAGCACUGGUGAGAAGAGAGGCAAGGCAGGGCUUGUGAUUCUCAUCCCCAAGACCCUGCCACUUGCCUACUCGCUCGGGCAAUGAGGGCGGGCACUGCUUCCAGAGUUAAACUGCACUGGACCCAGAUCUAUGUGUCCAUAAGUCAGAGCAAGUUUGUCAGAAGCUGUCAGGGAGUAAGGCUGAGUAGACGGAUGGAGUCAGACUCAUUUAAAAAUGGAAUACCAGCAGAUAGGUUUAAAAAUGGAAUGCGGCCGGCUAGAGUGAAGGUGGUCCCUAAACCAAACACCUGUCCCUUCUGUGUGUUUUCUGGUUUCUUUCCCCAUUGCUCGAGAAUGCUAGAAGCCAGACUAGUAUUAAGAACUCUAAAUUCCUAGCCUGGCAUGGUGGUUUACACCUGUAAUCCCAGCAACUUGGGAGAUCAAGGCAGGAGGGGAUCACUUGAGCCCAGGAAUUUGAGACCAACCUGGGCAACGUGUUGAAACCCCAUCUCUACAAAAAAUACAAAAAUUAGUCAGGCAUGUGGUGCAUGCCUGUAGUCUCAGCUACUUGGGAGGUUGAGGUGGGAGGAUUGCUUAAGCCCAGGAGGUCGAGGCUGCAGUGAGCCAUGAUCGCGCCACUGCACUCUAGCCUGGGUGACAGAGCGAGACCUUGUCUCAAGACAAACAAACAAACAAACAAACAAAAAACUCUUAAGUUCUAAGUGCCUGGAGCAGGGAGUGUUUCUGAGGCCUCAUGUUUACCAGGGCACUGUGCUAUGUGCAGGGUAGUGAGGGGGAGAGACACCAUUCCAACAUCUUGGAGCCCAAGUCUAGAGUCAGGGCCACAGAGGCGGGAGAGGAAGAGAAUCCCACUGCAAAUGGGCUGGGCCUCCCUGCCUUUGCCCAUUGAGUGAGCAACAGUGCUGUUUCUAUAGGUCUCUUUGAGCCUUAAGCAUGGAAUGUGAUGAGACUGAACAGUGAUAAAAUGUAUUGAUGGAACUUCUGUUCAUUGAAAUGCAAAGGGGAAGAAAGAAUUUAGAAAUGAUCUGAGGUUUCCAGCUUGGGGAGAGAGAAAGUGAGAGGAAGUGGGGGCCUAAGGGGAAUGGAAUGAACAGCCCCGACUUCAGGCUUGUAGACUGCAAUGGGGCAAGGCAGCUACAUGCAAAUGUCCUUCCUGGAGCCUGGAAACAAGGUCAAAGCAGAGAUGGACAAGUAGGAGCGCAGCCUAGAGGAGAUAGGUGAUGCCUGAAGCCAUGAGAAGGGGUGUUAUCUCUGCAGGAAGAAGAAUUGCAACACUCCUCCCAGCUGAGCAAACAGUCUGGGCUGGGAUGUGAGUGGUAUCACACUCUGCACUCACUUCCUCCUUCAGUGGUCAUUUGAGAGUUCACUGGGGCUGACCUACCCCAUUGGUCCUGGAGGACAGAAAGGAAUGGAGAAUAAAGAAGGUCUAAGGUGCAGUUUUUCCCCCUCCUCCAAAGCCAUGAAGGGACCUAUGGAUUUGAAAGCUGUGUGUGGUCACUGUGGACAGAGUGACUCCUACCCCACUGGGGGGCUUUGCCAGCCAAGGCACAAAUCAAGCCUUCUCUUUGCCCUCUGAAGUCAAAGGGAGAAGACCGGGGUUGUCCAUCUUUAUAGGCAGCCUCAGAUGAUCCAACCUAAUAUACGUCAUUAACAAAUUGUGUGAUCUUGAACAAGUCAGUUUAUCUCAUUGUGACUCAAGUGAACAUAAGGGUAUAGAGCAUUUGCCCUGCUGACCUCACUGGAUCAUUGUGAAAUAAUAGCUAAUGAGAUGGUGCAUAGCAGGUGUUUUGUAAACUUAACAGUGAUAGGCAAAGCUUAGUUCCCAUGAGAAUGACUCUCUGACUAUUAUCUAUGGCAUUGGAAUACUGACCUCCCUUCUCUGAGAAAGCUCCAGCGGCAAAAUGCUUCUGAUCUCAAACUUUAGGACCAAUUUUCUGGUUUACAGGGCAGGACGAGCCCCUUCUCUUAAGGAUCAAGGGGAUGAAGGAGAAUUCCCUGCUUUUGGUGGGGGGUUACUUCUGAAAGCCAUGCCCUGCUCCCAUCUGAGGAGGUCACCCAGUCCUAGUUUUGUCUGGAAGCACCCUGCCCAGCCCCAGGGGCCAGCCCCAUCCCAGCCAGGCCUCAGAGAUGUCAGACCUGAAAGGCAGCUGCUGCCUCUCCUUCUGACAGGUGUCUCCGCCAGAGCUGGGAGAUGAGGAGAUAGGCGAGCUGAGCACCUUUCCUCCUUGAAUUGAUAACUGCUUUGCAAUGCAGCUCUGUACUUGCUAAAUGAAACCUCCUGCCCCACCAUGAUGGAUUUAUGGCUGAAACAUCUUAUCUCAACUGAGAAUAUUUUAUGAGUGUGCAUGGGUGUGUGUGGGAUAGGAGGAGGGAAAAGGCAGUUUUGCAAACAUUUCUAGAGGUGCUCCAUAAUCUGCCCUACCCUGAAGUAUUAUCUAGAAGCUCUUUCUAGAUCUGCCAGGCUUAAGCAUCUAUAAGUCUUCUCCAGAUGCUAGCACAAUGUAGAUGCCUCAUGAAACAUUUGCUGAUGAUGAUGAUGACGAUGAUGACGAUGAAGGCUGUGGUCUGGAAGGGGACUCUGUUUUUGAUAAGUUUAAUUCAAUCCAGCAAAUAUUGAACAAAUGCUCAUUUUUGUUCAGGGCUAGGAAAGCUACUAUUAUUAUUUUUUUGGUGGGGUGGAGAAAGGGGAGAGUUGGAGAAUAUAAAAAUAAAUGACACAAACUCUUUUCUCUACAUCCUUGGUCUAUACUGAGGGGCCAGGACAUGCACAUUCGGAGUGGAUGUGGAGCAGAAGGGGUUGGAGUGGCAAGAACUAAUGGCCCAGAGUGUAGCUUCAGGAGCUGGACACACCUGGUGGGAUCUUUAGGUAGUUUCUUGUCUUUUGAGCUCCUCAGUUUUCUCCCCUCUAACAGGGGGACAACACUAUUCCCUAGCUCUAAGGUUGGUGUGAAGGUCAUAGGAUUUGCGUAGGGGUUACUUGGUACCAUGUGGGGUCAGCAGCUCAGUAGCAUCACCAACACGAGGAUGAAGAUGAAGGACCGACUCACUGACGAGGGUGGGCUGGAGAUGACUGGGAGCCAGGAACCAUCACAAACUCAGGGCUCUGUGUGCACUGGUUAUCCCAUUCUUUUGCAACCUUGUAAAAUUAAUUUAAUAGGUAGUACAUCCAAGUGGUUUAAAAAGCAAAAGGUAUAAAGAAAUAUGCAGUGAAGAUGAAAAUUGCUCUCAGUUCUGACCCCUCACUAUUGUGCUCCUCCUUCUCAGAGGCAGCUGUUGUCAUUGGUUUCUGGGGCAUUCUUUCCAAGGGCGUUGUACACCCAGCAUCUAAUGAUGCUACCUCUUCUUCCUCUUUCUUGUUUUAACCCAAAAGGAGGAAUUGGGAGUUGAUGAUAGCCAUAGAGUGGAAGGCAGCAGCUGGAGGGAGGAAGCUGGAUGUAUCUGAGCAUCUACUACGUGCCAGGCCCAGAUGAAAUCUUAUCAGUUCUAGCGAAAUUUGGAGAAAGAUUCACUGUCUUAGAAUUUGAAAACAUCAGUGCUGGAGGGGAAGGUGGAAGCCAUCUGGCUAAUCUUCAUUUACUGAUAUGGAAGUGACUAGUCCAAAGUCCCAGAGCUUUCUGAUUUUUGCUUCUUCUUGCUAGGAAAGCAAUUAUCCUAUAAUAAUCCUUCUUUACAG